UGCUUUCCAUCUGGAAGAAUCUGGAGACAGGUGCUGCAUGGCUGUCGUCAGCUCGUGUCGUGAGAUGUUCGGGUUAAGUCCCGCAACGAGCGCAACCCUUGCCUUAGUUGCCAGCAGUUCGGCUGGCACUCUAAAGGGACUGCCGGUGUUAAACCGGAGGAAGGUGGGGAUGACGUCAAGUCCUCAUGGCCUUUAUGACCAGGGCUACACACGUACUACAAUGGCCGAUACAAAGGGCAGCGACACUGCGAGGUGAAGCCAAUCCCGUAAAAUCGGUCUCAGUCCGGAUUGGAGUCUGCAACUCGACUCCAUGAAGUUGGAAUCGCUAGUAAUCGUGGAUCAGCAUGCCACGGUGAAUACGUUCCCGGGCCUU
rnacentral:rRNA from 1 species